rnacentral:rRNA from 1 species
GAUGAACGCUGGCGGCGUGCCUAAUACAUGCAAGUCGAGCGAACAGACGAGGAGCUUGCUCCUCUGACGUUAGCGGCGGACGGGUGAGUAACACGUGGAUAACCUACCUAUAAGACUGGGAUAACUUCGGGAAACCGGAGCUAAUACCGGAUAAUAUAUUGAACCGCAUGGUUCAAUAGUGAAAGACGGUGUUGCUGUCACGUAUAGAUGGAUCCGAGCCGCAUGAGCUAGUUGGUAAGGUAACGGCUUACCAAGGCCACGAUGCGUAUCCGACCUGUGAGGCUGGUCGCCCACCCUGGACGUGAGACGCCGUCCAGACUCCUGCGAGAGGCAGCAGUAGCGAAUCUUCCGCAAUGGGCGAGAGCCUUACGGAGCAGCGCCGCGUGAGUGAUGACGGUCUUCGGAUCGUGAAACUCUGUUAUUAGUGAAGAACAAAUGUCUAAGUAACUAUGCACGUCUUGACGGUACCUAAUCAGAAAGCCCCGGCUAACUACGUG